rnacentral:rRNA from 1 species
GAUGAACGCUGGCGGCGUGCCUAAUACAUGCAAGUCGAGCGAACAGACGAGGAGCUUGCUCCUCUGACGUUAGCGGCGGACGGGUGAGUAACACGUGGAUAACCUACCUAUAAGACUGGGAUAACUUCGGGAAACCGGAGCUAAUACCGGAUAAUAUAUUGAACCGCAUGGUUCAAUAGUGAAAGACGGUUUUGCUGUCACUUAUAGAUGGAUCCGCGCCGCAUUAGCUAGUUGGUAAGGUAACGGCUUACCAAGGCGACGAUGCGUAGCCGACCUGAGAGGGUGAUCGGCCACACUGGAACUGAGACACGGUCCAGACUCCUACGGGAGGCAGCAGUAGGGAAUCUUCCGCAAUGGGCGAAAGCUUGACGGAGCAACGCCGCGUGAGUGAUGAAGGUCUUCGGAUCGUAAAACUCUGUUAUUAGGGAAGAACAAAUGUGUAAGUAACUAUGCACGUCUUGACGGUACCUAAUCAGAAAGCCACGGCUAACUACGUGC